GCAAGGACAGGUGUCCUGUGGGCACUGGGUGAGCGUAGCUGGGCUGCGGGGAUGGGUGCGGGCGCUGCUGGACCAGGGCAUCACCUCAUUCCACUGCCCCUGCUGCCCGGACACCCCUUGGCUCUGGCAGGAGCUGUGCAAACUCGGGCUCUUCUCGGAUGAGGAGCAGGCCACGCUGGAGGCCCAAAUCCUGGCACAGGAGGGGGCCAGGGGCAGCUACCACCAGUGUCCACGCAGCCAGCACCUUGUCCAGCGGCUGGACCCCGGUACCUUGCGCACCCU